rnacentral:lncRNA from 1 species
GGAUUAACUUAUUAGCUUUGAUCAAUCUCUUGACUCAAAGCCCUAUCUUAGUUAUAACCUUUUAAUCUCUUAAACCGAUUGAUUAACUUUGGAAGUGAUGUUCUAGCUCGUUAAUCCUAAGUCUUAACUCUCAACUUCCUAUCUCUAGUGUCAUAUGUUGAGUUAAUCACAUUUACUAUGUCCGGUUCAAUAGCUAGGGUUAGUAGUCAAUUCAAGCAAUCGAUAGAAACUAGUGUAAUAGCCAUACACAUGAUAUUAAGAAAAGCAUCAAGCAAGAAUAAUUAUGAAUAAAGAUUAAUAUAUUGAUAGCAACAGAGUCAAAAACUACAUGGAAUUCACAGAUACAAUAGAUUCACCUUAGCUUAAAAUUAACUAGACAUAGAGAUACAAAUAAAUAGCAUGAAAAAUAAAAUUAACCACAAAAACAUGUUGUUCCUCAAUUCUCUCUCUGUGCCGUGUUGUUAAUCGCCCUUUUUCUGUCCGUUCCUUCAAUCCUCAAAAUCGUGAUUCAGCCUCUUUGUUUUCCAAAACCGUGAAUGCCUCUUUGUUACUGUGCGGCUCCUUUUGUAAUCAUAGCAUGAUGCCUUCAUUCCCUUUCUUUUCUCACGGGUCACUGAUGCUAGCAUGGGUUAAAGGCCCAUUUGUUUUUCUUUUCCUAAUUAACCAAGCACAUGCUGCACAUGUGGCCUAAUAACUAAACCAUGAUUUUGUCAUUUUAACUUCACUGUUCAGCACUUCAAAGGAUGC